rnacentral:ncRNA from 1 species
AAAAAUACUAUGAUUGAGAGAGUAGAUAUAAAGACUUUUUCAGGGAGAAAAGGUCAUGACUGUAAGCCUUUUUAUUAGAAUUUAUAUUGAAGUUCGCUCAGGAGUACUAGCUGUGAAACAAAGUAGUAGCUAGCGGUUUUUGCCGUUAUUAAAAUUAAGUUGGAUAUUUGUUUUAUAAUAAAUAUCAAUUAGGGUGGUAACGCGGAUAUUCCGUCCCUUUG